AGCUUUGCGCAGUGGCAGCAGUGGCCAGUGAAGUUUAUCCGAGGCGUGAUUAUUGCUGAUUGAAAACUUCCCCAUUACCCGCCAAGAUGACUUGAAAUAUAGUUGGCGUUGGCAAUUUUUGACAGUUUCUGUGGAGA
ensembl:snRNA U4 U4 spliceosomal RNA